CCUACGGGAGGCAGCAGUGGGGAAUAUUGGACAAUGGGGGGAACCCUGAUCCAGCCAUGCCGCGUGUGUGAAGAAGGCCCUCGGGUUGUAAAGCACUUUCAGUGAGGAAGAACGCCUGGUGGUUAAUACCCAUCAGGAAAGACAUCACUCACAGAAGAAGCACCGGCUAACUCCGUGCCAGCAGCCGCGGUAAUACGGAGGGUGCGAGCGUUAAUCGGAAUUACUGGGCGUAAAGCGGGCGUAGGUGGCUUGAUAAGCCGGUUGUGAAAGCCCCGGGCUCAACCUGGGAACGGCAUCCGGAACUGUCAAGCUAGAGUGCAGGAGAGGAAGGUAGAAUUCCCGGUGUAGCGGUGAAAUGCGUAGAGAUCGGGAGGAAUACCAGUGGCGAAGGCGGCCUUCUGGACUGACACUGACACUGAGGUGCGAAAGCGUGGGUAGCAAACAGGAUUAGAUACCCCAAGUAGUC
rnacentral:rRNA from 1 species